CCUACGGGUGGCAGCAGUGAGGAAUAUUGGUCAAUGGGAGAGAUCCUGAACCAACCAAGCCGCGUGAGGGAAGACGGCCCUAUGGGUUGUAAACCUCUUUUGUCGGGGAACAAAACCCGGGACGUGUCCCGGACUGCGUGUAUCCGAAGAAAAAGCAUCGGCUAACUCCGUGCCGGCAGCCUCGGUAAGACGGAGGAUGCGAGCGUUAUCCGGAUUUAUUGGGUUUAAAGGGUGCGUAGGCGGUCCGUUAAGUCGGCGGUAAAAGUGCGGGGCUAAACCCCGAAGAGCAGUUGAAACUGGAAGACGUGAGUUGGCGAGAAGUACGCGGAAUGCGCGGUGUAGCGGUGAAAUGCAUAGAUAUCGCGCAGAACUCCGAUUGCGAAGGCAGCGUACCGGCGCCAGACUGACGCUGAGGCACGAAAGCGUGGGGAUCGAACAGGAUUAGAUACCCGGGUAGUC
rnacentral:rRNA from 1 species